rnacentral:rRNA from 1 species
CCUACGGGAGGCAGCAGUAGGGAAUAUUGGACAAUGGGCGCAAGCCUGAUCCAGCCAUCCCGCGUGAAGGAUUAAGGCCCUCUGGGUUGUAAACUUCUUUUCUCUGGGAAUAAAAACCGGUAUUCAUACUGGCUUGAAGGUACCAGAGGAAUAAGCACCGGCUAACUCCGUGCCAGCAGCCGCGGUAAUACGGAGGGUGCAAGCGUUAUCCGGAUUCACUGGGUUUAAAGGGUGCGUAGGUGGCUUUGUAAGUCAGUGGUGAAAUGCCGCAGCUCAACUGCGGAACUGCCAUUGAUACUGCUUAGCUUGAAUCACGUCGAGGUGGAUGGAAUAAUACAUGUAGCGGUGAAAUGCUUAGAUAUGUAUUAGAACACCGAUUGCGAAGGCAGUUCACUAGGCGUGUAUUGACACUGAGGCACGAAAGCGUGGGGAUCAAACAGGAUUAGAUACCCUGGUAGUCCACGCCCUAAACGAUGUAAACUCGACAUUAGCGAUAUACUGUUAGUGUCCAAGCGAAAGCGUUAAGUUUACCACCUGGAAGUACGACCGCAAGUUGAAACUCAAAUGAAUUGACGGCUGAGAGNGCGAGACGACGACGAGGGAGGAGG